rnacentral:rRNA from 1 species
AUUGAACGCUGGCGGCAUGCCUUACACAUGCAAGUCGAACGGCAGCACGGGUGCUUGCACCUGGUGGCGAGUGGCGAACGGGUGAGUAAUACAUCGGAACAUGUCCUGUAGUGGGGGAUAGCCCGGCGAAAGCCGGAUUAAUACCGCAUACGAUCCACGGAUGAAAGCGGGGGACCUUCGGGCCUCGCGCUAUAGGGUUGGCCGAUGGCUGAUUAGCUAGUUGGUGGGGUAAAGGCCUACCAAGGCGACGAUCAGUAGCUGGUCUGAGGGGACGACCAGCCACACUGGGACUGAGACACGGCCCAGACUCCUACGGGAGGCAGCAGUGGGGAAUUUUGGACAAUGGGCGAAAGCCUGAUCCAGCAAUGCCGCGUGUGUGAAGAAGGCCUUCGGGUUGUAAAGCACUUUUGUCCGGAAAGAAAUCCUUGGCUCUAAUACAGUCGGGGGAUGACGGUACCGGAAGAAUAAGCACCGGCUAACUACGUG